rnacentral:rRNA from 1 species
CCUACGGGUGGCAGCAGUGGGGGAUAUUGCACAAUGGGGGAAACCCUGAUGCAGCGAAGCCGCGUGUGGGAAGAUGGUCCUCUGGAUUGUAAACCACUGUCCCCAGGGACGAAGAUGACGGUACCUGGGGAGGAAGCUCCGGCUACCUACGUGCCAGCAGCCGCGGUACUACGUAGGGAGCGAGCGUUGUCCGGAAUUACUGGGUGUAAAGGGAGCGUAGGCGGGACUGCAAGUUGGGUGUCAAAUCUACCGGCUCAACCGGUAGCCGCACUCAAAACUGCAGUUCUGGAGUGAAGUAGAGGCAGGCGGAAUUCCUAGUGUAGCGGUGAAAUGCGUAGAGAUUAGGAGGAACACCAGUGGCGAAGGCGGCCUGCUGGGCUUUUACUGACGCUGAGGCUCGAAAGUGUGGGGAGCAAACAGGAUUAGAUACCCCAGUAGUC